GCCUCGUUAGCUCAGUUGGUAGAGCGCACGCCUUUUAAGAGACUCUAAUCAGUCUUCGACGGCGUAAGCCUAAACGCGCGAGGUCGCACUCGCGACGCACAACGACACGACGAGGGCGCGCGAGCGCCCGAGAGCUGUUCAAGGACAGCGUGUGGUCACGGGUUCGAGCCCCGUACGCGGUA
rnacentral:tRNA from 1 species